UUUUAUAAAAUAUGUUUACAUAUGUUUGUAAACAUAUGAAAAACAUAUGAUUUUCAUAUGUUUUCAUAUGUUUUAAAGGACAUUAAAAAAAAAUGUUUUGAGAAAAUGUCAAAAUUUGUCAUUUAAUUAUCACAUACACUUUUUCAUUUAUUAUCUAUAUAGCGUAUUUCUCAAACAGGAAAGUUCACUUUCUACUCUUCCCACUAAAUCCCACAUGAUCAUGAUGAUGAAAGCAGGUCAGCCCUGUCAGUGUCACCCCCACAGCAGAGCUAUCUAAUUUUGAAUUGAACAGAAUGUAGAAUAAGUGAAUGGGUUAUAAAUAUUAAAUAAUAAUAUGAAUAAAUAUUCUUUAUUUAGUUUGUUCUUUAUUCUCAAUUCUUUUUUUUUUAUUAUUAAUAAUCCAAUUAUUCUCUAUGAUUCUUUAUUCUAUAUUUCUGCCUUUUUUUACUAUCUGUUCUUUAUUUUGCACUUUUUGUCAUUAUUUUCUAUUCUUAAACUCCCAUCUAGAUUCCAGACCCUCAAAUAUACGUAAAUGUACGAAAGCUUGCAUGGUACGUCGAACACGAAAACCCGGAAAUCUUUUCACCGUUACCGUUUUUUAUACUAUGACGCAAAAUCCAUGGACGCUCACGCGAUCAUCUGUUGCUGUCUUUUUAAAAGUUUUUAAGAAUGGACAGAGAUAGAUGAUACAAGGAACUUUGGUUUUUCAAACUGGUGAAUCAAAAAUUUAUUAUAAACAGAUAAAUUGAAAUGGGUGACUUGUCGAUUAACUGGAAGAAACCGGGGAACGAAACAUAGAAAAUUUAUGAAACGAAAGUCAACGCAACAAAAGUCAAAGUGUUUUUGUUUUGAUGGAUAAUUUUACGUACCCUAAAAGCGGAACGAAAGCAUUUUCAGUGAAAGUACAUUUUGUACAUGUACUUCAACAGAACAGAAUUCAUUUGAGGCCUUGCUUUCUAGAUUAUAUAAUGGAUUCAUAGAUUGUCAUAUUGAUUUAUGUGCAUAAAAGGAGCAGUAGUCUAUGAAUAAUUUUGUGAUGAGAGCUUAUUACCAUGGUUACCAAAUGAAAGGAAAGUGCAGUAUUAGAAUCACUGGUGUACAUGUAGAUGCGGAUGUCCGGCAAAAAGAACUGGUAUCAAAGAACUGAAAAGUAAAGAAACAGAACCAAAGAACGUUAAUUUUAGAUUAAUACAAUAUUGAACUGAAA